rnacentral:rRNA from 1 species
ACGCUGGCGGCGUGCCUAAUACAUGCAAGUCGUACGCUUCUUUUUCCACCGGAGCUUGCUCCACCGGAAAAAGAAGAGUGGCGAACGGGUGAGUAACACGUGGGUAACCUGCCCAUCAGAAGGGGAUAACACUUGGAAACAGGUGCUAAUACCGUAUAACAAUCGAAACCGCAUGGUUUUGAUUUGAAAGGCGCUUUCGGGUGUCGCUGAUGGAUGGACCCGCGGUGCAUUAGCUAGUUGGUGAGGUAACGGCUCACCAAGGCCACGAUGCAUAGCCGACCUGAGAGGGUGAUCGGCCACAUUGGGACUGAGACACGGCCCAAACUCCUACGGGAGGCAGCAGUAGGGAAUCUUCGGCAAUGGACGAAAGUCUGACCGAGCAACGCCGCGUGAGUGAAGAAGGUUUUCGGAUCGUAAAACUCUGUUGUUAGAGAAGAACAAGGAUGAGAGUAACUGUUCAUCCCUUGACGGUAUCUAACCAGAAAGCCACGGCUAACUACGUGCCAGCAGCCGCGGUAAUACGUAGGUGGCAAGCGUUGUCCGGAUUUAUUGGGCGUAAAGCGAGCGCAGGCGGUUUCUUAAGUCUGAUGUGAAAGCCCCCGGCUCAACCGGGGAG